rnacentral:lncRNA from 1 species
UUCAGUGCUAUGUCUUCCCUCUGUAGUGUUCUUCUGCACUUUGAUUCACUUAAAAAUUCUUUUUAAAAUGUACUAUUACUAUAUGCAUUCUUGUAUGGUGUGUGCACAGGUGGAGAGGGUAGAGGGCAGGACAGCUUUGUGGAACUUCUUUUCUUCUGCCUCUGUCAGUUCUGAAGGUUGAACUCGGGUCACCUGGCCUGUGUUGCAAGUGUUUUUAUCCCCCCUGAGCUAAUUUGUGGGCCAAUAAUUUCACAUUUUAAGUUAAAUAAUCUACUAAGGGAAAUCUUCAUAUUUACAAAAGUAGUGGAACAAUGCUAAAAAAAUCAUUGUUCAGCUAUUUACGUUUCGCCAAUUCCAGGCAACUCUUUAUUGGUUAAGGCAUGUGUUUGCAUGGUAAGGCGCUCUUUACAUCACAGAUCAUGGAUGGCUUUCUUCAGUGUGGGUGUCUGCACUGCGUACUCACUGUACAUGGGUGUGGUUAUCUUUUUCCUUAUUUUUCUUCCAUCGCAAAUGUCCUUUGGGGCUGAGGAUGUAGGUCAGUAUAGAGUACUCAUCUAGGGGCUGGAGAUGUUACAGAGCUCAGUUGAUAGAAUGUUUUUUAGCAUGCAUAAAACACCGGGUUUCAUUUACCAUGCCACAUAAACUCGACAUGGUGGCAUGUAACCUGAAAUCCUAGCACUUGGAAGGUGGAAGCAAGAGAAUCAGAAGUUCAUGGUAAUUCUCCACUAAAUAGAGUGCUGAGCAGGUAUGUACAAGGAUCUGACUUUACCUGUGGCACCAAAAAAAAAAAAACAAAAACAAAAACAAAAAACAAAAAACCC